rnacentral:rRNA from 1 species
AUCUGGACGGAUGAAGUUCAAGUCAAUGUGCAUUUUGCGGACUUCCACGUGAUCCUUGCCUCUGUAGUUAACCCAGUCUCUAGUGUUUCUUUUGCUCUUGUUUGUAUAUAUGGUGACCCGUACCAUCGUAACACUAGUGAUAUCUGGGAUCGUAUUGCCUCUUUUGUGUACGAUAACCAAGGCAGCCCUAUCUUAUGUAUGGGAGAUCUUAAUGAUAUACUUUAUGAUGCUGAUAAAAGUUCUCCCUUUGUGAAUCAAUCUCGUGUGUAUGCUUUU